CUGGUGCGUGUGGCUAGGAACCCUGGGAAUGAAUGAACAAGCUCUUCUCCUCUGCUCUCAAAGUGCUGAGAAAAUCAGAAGCUGCAUCAACCUGGAGACCACAGGUUUCUGUUUAUUCCUUGACGCUCUACUUCCUCUCUGAUUUCCAUCAUCUGAUCUGGCUUUCUUCUCGAGCAAUACAGAAGAGAGCGCUCUCUCAUCCCCAUUGCCCUGGCUACCACACCUCUAUCGAUACAGCUUAACUAAGGUCACUUUUUGGUAACUGGCUGUAUAACUCUUCUGGCUUGUAGGAGCUUAAGGAUAAUUAAAGCAAUGAAGGAGAG
rnacentral:lncRNA from 1 species